GUAACAUCUAGUAAUAUAUAGUGAUAAUUUAAUAGAAUCAAAAUAGAAUAUCUAGGUAUAGUUAAUGUAUGAUAUAGUCCCUCUAUCGUGAGUCUCGAUUAGAUGGCAGGUCAUGAACAAAUCAUCAAAUCUCAUCAUCAGUCAUAUGAUAGAUGUGAUCAACUCAAGUCUAAUAAUUAUUUCAAAUAAAAACUUCUUUUUAUUAAUCACACUGCUAUAGCAAUAGACUUGUAGACUCAGCUUCUCAAAUCUCAUAGGACUAUUCUCCUC
rnacentral:lncRNA from 1 species